GAGGCUGUGGUUGGAACUUGACUUCACCAGGCUCCUGCCAUACAUGGGCCUGAUGGAGGAAGCCAGGGAGGAGGAGGAGGAGGAGGAGGAAGUGAGACGGGGAGGGAGGGGCUUUUCCUUUUUUUUUCUUUUUUUUUUUCUUCCAUCUUCUUCUUUUCGUGGGACCUUCGACUCACCUGCUCGCCAGCCUGCUGCGCUCUGAAUUAUUUAAUAACCGGUUACUGAUUCUGUCGUGAUGUAAAACAUACUCUCUCUCUCUCUCUCUCCCUCCCUCCAGUAACCGGACCUGAAGGAUGUAAAGAGAGGCGGUCGUUGGCGUCCCGCGGUAGGAGCGAGUCUCGGAACUGCUGUGGUCGCACAAGUCAGCGCAGAAAAAGUGAGACGUCCGGUCUGCAGGGUCCACGUCCAGGGGAAGAGUUUGAGGAAGCGUGGACAACUGCAGCUUCAGAAAUGGCGGAUGACUUAUUUCCUGGACGGUCACGUGUCCUCGCCAGGCUUUCCAGACAGAUGAGGCCGCGCGUCCAAUUAAGAUCAAAUCGGCCCUAA
rnacentral:lncRNA from 1 species